GGCACUUACAGGUGUUUUUGUCUAAUCUUUUGUGGACUAAAAGUUAAUGAACAGGUGCAAAAAUAAAUUCUCUUUUGCAACCCAGAACUUAUUGUUUGGUAGGAGUUUUCAUACAUAUAAGAAGGAACAGU
ensembl:snoRNA